AGAAACUCUAGAGUUAGAGCUGCCGUUACUAGUAACUUUCACAGUUAUUAGCAUUAACUCGCCCUUGUAAUGAGGCUCGGCCGGUCGCGGCGCAUUCUAUAUAAGCUACUUCCGAGCUCCUGACCAAGGUUUCAUCAUCGUGUACUAUCACACCCGCCAUAAGAAAACACAAGCCUGAGGGCUCGAGACGUAGGGUUGUUACCACUCCGGAGUGGGACCCGAACACGUACAUCCGAGUGUAUCCACUAUGCCUUAGCUACGAUCCGCCCCUCAUUUGUACCCGUGGUAUUAUUG
rnacentral:lncRNA from 1 species